rnacentral:rRNA from 1 species
GACGAACGCUGGCGGCGUGCCUAAUACAUGCAAGUAGAACGCUGAAGAGAGGAGCUUGCUCUUCUUGGAUGAGUUGCGAACGGGUGAGUAACGCGUAGGUAACCUGCCUUGUAGCGGGGGAUAACUAUUGGAAACGAUAGCUAAUACCGCAUAACAAUGGAUGACACAUGUCCUUUAUUUGAAAGGGGCAAUUGCUCCACUACAAGAUGGACCUGCGUUGUAUUAGCUAGUAGGUGAGGUAAUGGCUCACCUAGGCGACGAUACAUAGCCGACCUGAGAGGGUGAUCGGCCACACUGGGACUGAGACACGGCCCAGACUCCUACGGGAGGCAGCAGUAGGGAAUCUUCGGCAAUGGGGGCAACCCUGACUGAGCAACGCCGCGUGAGUGAAGAAGGUUUUCGGAUCGUAAAGCUCUGUUGUAAGUCAAGAACGGGUGUGAGAGUGGAAAGUUCACACUGUGACGGUAGCUUACCAGAAAGGGACGGCUAACUACGUG